rnacentral:misc_RNA from 1 species
AAGUCGUAACAAGGUCUCCGUUGGUGAACCAGCGGAGGGAAUCAUUACCGAGUCGUAAAAAAGCUCCCAAACCCAUGUGAACUUACCUAUGUUGCCUCGGCAGGACCUACCCGGGGACCUACCCUUGUAGCUACCUUGUAGCCUGCCGGGUGGACAUCUAAACUCUUGUUUUUUUGAUAGAAAGUCUGAACGUCUUAUUAAAUAAGUCAAAAU